rnacentral:tRNA from 1 species
AAUAAUAUAGUAUAAAGUACAUUUGAUUUCCAAUCAAAAGGAGAAAAGAAUCUUUUUAGUGUAA